rnacentral:lncRNA from 1 species
ACACCCACCUGAGGGCACUGUAGGAUCUGUAUUUGGCUGCUGUAACAGAGACUGAAGAAAACAAAACCAAACCCGCAGCUUCCACACGGCAGGGGGUGUUCUCCCUCCCGACAGAGCUUGUUUGGCAGCUCACAGGCCCAGGCUCCUUCCAGCCUAUCGCUCCACCAUUCCUGGGGCCAGGCCUUGUUGCUGUGGUUUGAGAUGGCCCGUGACCAUGCCCGCGGCCCUGUUGAAGGAAGCAAGGGGAUGGGCUGGGGGUUGGGGUGCCCUUUCCCUUUUCCUUUAGUUGAUGCCUUUCCCUUUAAGCAAACACAUUGGUAUCUUGUACAUUUAGUACUUACUGUGCACUUUAUAAACAUUGACCCAUUUAAGCUUAUUCCAACUCUCAGUUUCCUCAGAUCAUAGAUGAAGAAACUGAGGCACAGAGAGGCCGAAUCCACUGUCAAAGGUCCGGUAGCUGGAGGAGGCAGCGCCCCUCACAUCCAUUAGUCAGACCAGCCACAGGGCACAUCUACUUGCAGGGAGGCCCAGCAACAAGGUCUGGAGUCUCGGAGGCCACAUGCCUAGCAAGACACCAAGUGCUCUGUUAGUGUUGAAGCGGGGUGGAUGGCAUUGGAAGAUGGCUGGUCAUCCCCGUCACAGCUCACAGCCCGUCAUUCACAGACCAAGCUCCCCUGGCUUGACUCGCUGCCAUGUCACACGUCCCCAGGAUGUGCUGUGCCUUUGCUGGGACCUACAGUUCUGUUGGGAAUCUCUUUGGUGUCAUGGUCCCAACUGAGGCUGUGAGAGGAAAGAUGUCCUGUGACACCUGCUGCCCUCAGGGCCUCUUCCUCCUUCCCUUAGACGCAGGCCAGCUGGAACAUCCCCAGGCGUUCUGUCCUGGAUCAAGCAAGAGGAAGGGGCAAGUGGGAGGAGCCAGCAGGGCCCACAGGAGACCACUGUGGCACACCUGUGCUCAGGCAGCAUGGUGCUGGGCGCUGCAGGGGCUCAUUAAUGCGUGAGACACAGAUUCCACUCAGGAGAGAGAAGACGAACACAGACACAGUACACAGUGGGAAGGGGCACUGCCAUGUCUGCAGCCAGAGAGCCCUUUCAGAAUCUGACCCAAAAGAUGGCCAGUGUUCUAAGAAAAAGCACAUAUGCUUACGAUGUGCAAACAGCUGAAGGUGUUCUUUCAACUAUAGUAAAAGGGGUGUCUCGGUGGCCACAGGCGGCCCAGAUGAAGAGACCUGUCUGGGCCGCAGAGAGAAGAGGAGUCUGGAGGUAGGGUCCAAGGGCCACGAGCCAGUUUGGGCUGCUGGAGGGGGGCCUGGCAAGGAGGGCUCUGGGGGAAGCACCUGUGGGGGUCUGCUUCCUGACCCCAGGGAGCUAGAGGCCUCCCUCCCUCCAGGCCCCCCGAGCCAGGCUGAGCCAGCCGCUAGGGGCACGGAGCAGUGCCCACCUUGCGCCCAGUGUGGCCAGAGCUUCGGCCGGAAGGAGCUCAGUGCGCCGCACCAGCGCGUGCAUCGUGGCCCCCGGCCUUUCGCUGGUGCUCAGUGUCCCAAGAGCUUCACGCAGCGGACCACCCCCGCCAGCCACCGUCGGGCGCACGUGGCCGAGUGCACCUACACCCGCGCCCAAUGCGGCAAGACCUUCCUCCAGCAGUCGACGCUCACACCCACUACUGCGCGCACAUCGGGGAGAAGCCCUACGAGUGCGUCAAGCUCUUUGGCCGCCUGUCCACGCUGCUGGAGCACCGGCACACGCACACGGGUUCCCAUGAUCAGUGGUGAAAUAUAGUGAUUUUCACCUGUGCUUCCAUUCUGAAGUUCUGGAAAGAAGUACUGGAUGGACUGAAGUCCAGGACAACGUCCCAAAGAAAGGCAGAGUCCAGGUGGGCUUGGAGGACCAAGCCCUGGAUGAGCACUGGAGGGCAGAGGCCUCAGUGUCCAGCACUGUGCCCUGCACAUGGAAAGCCCCU